GAUCUGCCCUGCACUUCGGGAUAAGCCUGGGAAACUGGGUCUAAUACCGGAUAGGAGCCAUUUUUAGUGUGAUGGUUGGAAAGUUUUUCGGUGUAGGAUGAGCUCGCGGCCUAUCAGCUUGUUGGUGGGGUAAUGGCCUACCAAGGCGGCGACGGGUAGCCGGCCUGAGAGGGUGGACGGCCACAUUGGGACUGAGAUACGGCCCAGACUCCUACGGGAGGCAGCAGUGGGGAAUAUUGCACAAUGGGCGCAAGCCUGAUGCAGCGACGCCGCGUGGGGGAUGACGGCCUUCGGGUUGUAAACUCCUUUCGCUAGGGACGAAGCUUUUUGUGACGGUACCUAGAUAAGAAGCACCGGCUAACUACGUGCCAGCAGCCGCGGUAAUACGUAGGGUGCGAGCGUUGUCCGGAAUUACUGGGCGUAAAGGGCUCGUAGGUGGUUUGUCGCGUCGUCUGUGAAAUUCCGGGGCUUAACUCCGGGCGUGCAGGCGAUACGGGCAUAACUUGAGUACUGUUAGGGGUAACUGGAAUUCCUGGUGUAGCGGUGAAAUGCGCAGAUAUCAGGAGGAACCACCGAUGGCGAAGGCAGGUUACUGGGCAGUUACUGACGCUGAGGAGCGAAAGCAUGGGUAGCGAACAGGAUUAGAUACCCUGGUAGUCCAUGCCGUAAACGGUGGGCGCUAGGUGUGAGGGUCUUUUCACGACUUUCGUGCCGUAGCUAAC
rnacentral:rRNA from 1 species